rnacentral:rRNA from 1 species
UGAGGAAUAUUGGACAAUGGAUGGAAAUCUGAUCCAGCCAUGCCGCGUGCAGGAAGAAUGUCCUAUGGACUGUAAACUGCUUUUGUAUGGGAGCAAUAAGGUAUUCGUGAAUACCGAUGAGAGUACCAUACGAAUAAGCACCGGCUAACUCCGUGCCAGCAGCCGCGGUAAUACGGAGGGUGCAAGCGUUAUCCGGGAUUUAUUGGGUUUAAAGGGUGCGUAGGCGGUUAUAUAAGUCAGCGGUGAAAUUUUUCGGCUCAACCGGAAACAUGCCGUUGAUACUGUAUAGCUUGAAUAUGGUUGCUGUGAGUGGAAUGUGUAGUGUAGCGGUGAAAUGCUUAGAUAUUACACAGAAUAUCGAUUGCAAAGGCAACUCACAAAGCCAAUAUUGACGCUGAGG